rnacentral:rRNA from 1 species
UGGGGAAUAUUGGACAAUGGGGGGAACCCUGAUCCAGCCAUGCCGCGUGUGUGAAGAAGGCCUUAUGGUUGUAAAGCACUUUAAGCGAGGAGGAGGGUACUGGUAUUAAUACUAUCAGGUACUGGACGUUACUCGCAGAAUAAGCACCGGCUAACUCUGUGCCAGCAGCCGCGGUAAUACAGAGGGUGCGAGCGUUAAUCGGAUUUACUGGGCGUAAAGCGUGCGUAGGCGGCUAAUUGAGUCGGAUGUGAAAUCCCCGAGCUUAACUUGGGAAUUGCAUUAGAUGCUGGUUAGCUAGAGUGUGGGAGAGGAUGGUAGAAUUCCAGGUGUAGCGGUGAAAUGCGUAGAGAUCUGGAGGAAUACCGAUGGCGAAGGCAGCCAUCUGGCCUAACACUGACGAUGAGGUACGAAAGCAUGGGGAGCAAACAGG